rnacentral:rRNA from 1 species
AUGCCCAAGUUUUCCGGAAGCAAUGAUCCCGAAGAGUAUCUAUCAUGGGCAUUGAAGGUUGACAAAAUCUUCCGCUUGCACAACUAUGAGGAAGAGAAGAAGAUCGGGAUGGCAUCCCUUGAGUUCCAAGACUACGUCCUCAUUUGGUGGGAAAAAGUCAUUGAGCACCACGAGGCAAGAGGCGAACCACCCAUCACUACUUGUGAUGAGGACAUCAAUACCAUUGUUACACCCACAACCCCUGCCGCUAUACAUACUGGACCAAUUACUAGAGCUCGCACACGCCAAUUGAAUUAUCAGGUACUUUCGUUUCUUGGUAAUGAUUCUAAUGUUCAUGAGAAUAUGAUGCUGCCUAAAUUGGAUACAUUUGUUUUGCUUACAAAUGAAGGGCCUGGUAUGGUAAGAGGGAUGAACACUGGAGCAAGACCAAGCAUGGAGAGGAUGGCAUGCGCAAGGGGAACAAGAACGGAGUUACAAGUGAUGAUUUUAGGACUUUGA